AUAUUUGUUAUUAAGUAACGUCCU
rnacentral:siRNA from 1 species